CUAGAACAAUAUUAUCAAAGGCCAAAUAUUGUAAGCACAAGAAAAUUAAGAAAAGAGAGUCAUGUCUAGCCAAAGAAACUCAAGAGAUUCAAAGUUGAAAGAGAAACAGAUUAAUGAUCUUGUGUCAAGGUUACAACUACUAUUGCCUCAGCUGAACCAAAGAAACAACUCAAGGCAAUCAGCUUCCAAGAUCUUGCAGGAAACAUUGAAUCAUAUUAGGAGGCUUCAGAAAGAGGUGGAAGAUCUCAGUGAGAGGCUAACACAAUUGAUGGAUUCUGUGGAUAUCAAUGAUAAUGACAGAAGAACUUUAGAGAACUUUUUUCAAUAUUAAUAACAAAUUAGUCCUUUUUAA